AGCAGCCGCGGUAAUUCCAGCUCCAAUAGCGUAUAUUAAAGUUGUUGCAGUUAAAAAGCUCGUAGUUGAAUUUCGGGAUCAAUGCGUCGGUCGUGCCUUCGGUACGUACUAGCGUCAUUGAUUCCUCCCUUCUGAAGAACCGUGAUGUCAUUAAUUUGGUGUUACGGGAAAUCAGGACUGUUACCUUGAAAAAUUAGAGUGUUUAAAGCAGGCUAACGCUUGAAUACAUUAGCAUGGAAUAAUGAAAUAGGACGUUCGAACCUAUUUUGUUGGUUUCUAGGAUCGACGUAAUGAUUAAUAGGGAUAGUUGGGGGCAUUAGUAUUCAAUUGUCAGAGGUGAAAUUCUUGGAUUUAUUGAAGACUAACUACUGCGAAAGCAUUUGCCAAGGAUGUUUUCAUUAAUCAAGAACGAAAGUUAGGGGAUCGAAGACGAUCAGAUACCGUCGUAGUCUUAACCAUAAACUAUGCCGACUAGGGAUCGGAUGAUGUUAAUUUUUAAUGUACUCAUUCGGCGCCUUAC
rnacentral:misc_RNA from 1 species